GGCAGUUGGGUAUCUCAGUGGAUAGAGAACCAAGCCUGGAGAUGGGAGGUCCUAAUUUCAAAUUUGAUCUCAGACUCUUCCUAGCCAUGUGACUGGGCAAGUCACUUAACUCCCAUUGGCUAGCCCUUACCACUCUUCUGCCUUGGAACCAAUACAUAGUAUUAAUUCUAAGAUAGAAGGAAAGGGUUUAAAAAACAACAGCAGCAACAACAACAACAAAAAACCUUGAAUGGGUUCACAAAGGGACAUGCCAAAAAACAAGAACUUAGCCCUUAUUCUGGUACCUCGCUUUAUCUCAGAGGCUGCAUCCUUCUAGGACCUCAGGACUGCCCCCUUUGGAGGUGGAAGGACUAUAAAUCUGACAAUUCUGUGCUCACUUCCAGUGCCAAGAACAGUCCUCAAGGUCCGUGCACAGGACCUGUGGACUCAGGAUUUGACCCAUUCCCUUUCUCCAAGUUAUUUCACUGCUUUCAACUUCCUCCUUGGCAGAUCAUUUAUUUUAGGCUGAUGCAGCUGAAAGUGAAAGGAAGGAUCAAAAUAUCAUCCCAUCCAUAUAGAGAGGCUCCAUUAGCUCAAGAUGUUUGAUAAUCCUCG
rnacentral:lncRNA from 1 species